rnacentral:rRNA from 1 species
AUUGAACGCUGGCGGCAGGCCUAACACAUGCAAGUCGAACGAGUGGCGGACGGGUGAGUAAUUUCUGGGAAACUGCCUGAUGGAGGGGGAUAACUACUGUAAACGGUAGCUAAUACCGCAUACCAUCGGAUGUGCCCAGAUUGGAUUAGCUAGUGGGGGGGGUAACGUCUCACCUAGGCGACGAUCCCUAGCUGGUCUGAGAGGAUGACAAGCCACACUGGAACUGAGACACGGUCCAGACUCCUACGGGAGGCAGCAGUGGGGAAGAUUGCACAAUGGGCGCAAGCCUGAUGCAGCCAGGCCGCGUGUAUGAAGAAGGCCUUCGGGUUGUAAAGUACUUUCAGCGGGGAGGCGUUACCCGCAGAAGAAGCACCGGCUAACUCCGUGCCAGCAGACGCGGUAAUAC